GACGAACGCUGGCGGCGUGCUUAACACAUGCAAGUCGAACGGAAAGGCCCUGCUUUUGUGGGGUGCUCGAGUGGCGAACGGGUGAGUAACACGUGAGUAACCUGCCCUUGACUUUGGGAUAACUUCAGGAAACUGGGGCUAAUACCGGAUAGGAGCUCCUGCUGCAUGGUGGGGGUUGGAUAGUUUCGGCGGUUGGGGAUGGACUCGCGGCUUAUCGGCUUGUUGGUGGGGUAGUGUCUUACCAAGGCAUUGACGGGUAGCCGGCCUGGGAGGGUGAGCGGCCACAUUGGGACUGAGAUACGGCACAGACUCGAACGGGAGGCAGCGGUGGGGAAUAUUGCACAGGGGGAGGGGGGAUGAUGCGGCAACGCCGCGUGCGGGAUGACGUCCUGCGGGUAGGAAACCGCAUUCGCCUGUGACGAAGCGUGAGUGACGGUAAUGGGUGAAGAAGCACCGGCUAACUACGUG
rnacentral:rRNA from 1 species